UUCCUGAGAUUGAUAAAUUUCCUCUCGGCGUUGGUGGUCAUUUUGACAAAACCGUCACAACACAAAACUCUAGAUGGUGGAAAAAUACAAAGCGCAAGUUUCGGCGCUAAAGCCAUUUGAAAAUGGCGCCGAAUGAGACCAGACUUUCCCCAUGGAAACGGGAUCUGCCUCCGAAAUCUGCCUCCGCCCUCUGCCGGUGGACUGCUGAAGUACCCGUACGUACGCUUUCCCGAGGGCAGGAUGCUUCAUUUUGUUCAGCCGACUGUAGACUGUAGGUUGGAUUCCGAACAUGACACUUGUGUGUAAUGACCUAACACACUUCCAAGUAAAAAGCCUCCCAAAGUUUCGUUUGUAAAUGAAUUUGUCAUAGAAAAUAAGCAAAACUUUCUGUGAUCAUCAGUCUAUUUAAAUGCAAAACCCUCGGGACAAAGCUUGUGAACGAGAGCUAUUCAAGUUAUUCAGUUUAUACUUCAAGACUGUGAUAUGAAAAACACUAGUCUAUAUAAAUGCAGUCCAUUAAUAUGGAUAUAUAUAUAGAGGUUUAUCAUCGGACUACAGGAUUUACAGGAAAAUGAAAUUUACAGUUAUGCUUUCAGAUGGCACCCUCUCCUGGGUCUAAAAAGACCAUUUUCACUUAAACCAUUUUCCCUUCAUGCCAAAAGCAAACCAACAGACUCAAAGCAACAUAGCAGAGCUUUAUUGCACAUUUGUCAUUCUCAGAGAUAUAAACAUCACAGCUGCACAGGACAGAAGAUGUGAAUGCAGUGAAAGUAUCUCCUGUCCAAUUGGCUCUCAGUGAAUGUGCCACUGGAUUCUGCUCUGGGAAUGCACUGCGGCUUGGUUUUUAUUUACAAUCUUCCUGUUUCCCUGUGGUGAGGAGGAAGCCAGAGAAAGUCCCUUACUCAGUCAUAGUGUUUCUUUGUUUGAGAAUGCUCCUCUUCCAGGGAAGGACUUGAAAUUGUAGUUGAGUGUUUGUUUAUGUAUGAAUGCUGUUAAUGCUAUAAUUUAAACAAGUACUUUGAAAUGGU